AACAACUUCCUUAAAAAAACAAAAAGGGGUGAGGAAUUGAGAAAUAGCAGAAGACGGCAGGAUGAGCCCAAGCCCCAAAGGCCUUACAGUGCUGGUUCUGAAAUAUGCCUGGGAAUGAAUACAAAGUUGUGUGAAGUUGAUUUCCACCACAUGCACACACCGACAGUGUUUUUCAGUCAAUCUUAUGUCAUUUGUAAGAUUUUCCAGACCUAGGGGUUUAGGCGCCGGCCUUCAAUCUAGAUUGCUAUUGUCUGUUCUCUUCAGAGGGGUAUUGGUCUCAUUUAUUUGGUUCACCACCAUCUACAGUGCCAAGUUUUCACGGUUUCAAUGCUCCAGUGCAGACUGUUAUUUCAAAGCUGUUUAGCAUAGACCUGAUAAAUCAGCCAUGAAAUGACAGAUCCACACUCCCCUGGCUCCCUACUGUGGCACCAAACAAAUAUAAGGGAUUGAGAUUUGUAGAUCAUCACCCCUUGCUUACAAAAUGCUCUUGCACAUACAGCUGGUCUGACUGGCAGGAUAUAGUGAGAUAACGAGAUAUGAAGAUUAAAUAUGUUUGGUGCCAUUAUCACUCUUGGUUUGUCUUUUCAGCAAUCCUUAAAAAAUCUCCCCAGGCUGCAACGUGACAGAGAGGGUGUGCUCCAGACGCUACCAAUCUUUUCAGACCUGUUGUGUGAUUUUGGAGUCCUAAGGAACCGGGAAGGCAAAUUUACGAUUUAGACUAAUUUAACCGAUCAAAGCCGACACACUCAAAGACAUACGUCUGACAUAUGCACAGCCAAGCAUUUGCAUUUCAAGAAAAGUAACCAGGUGUCAUUUACCGAAUGGCUUUUACAUUCUGCUGGGAGAACGUCCCAAAAUAAACACCGCCUAUAAAAUAUCCAGGAACCUCCUGUUCAAAAUGAGGCAGUGCCUACGAGUCUGAUUCUUUAAAGGAUCCUUAAAGGGAUUUUGUUUUCUACCCAUCGUGCAACCCAAAUGACUGUCUGGAUUUUCUUGGCAGGCUAGAACAACGCUGGAAAACUCAGUGAGUAGGACUUUGAAGAUGGGGAGAAUGGUGGCCUGUCAGAUAUGAAAAGUGGAGGAGCAGGCCCUCAGCUCCAACCACUGACUCAUCUCGCAAAGUGGAGCCCAUGAUUGGCAAUGACGAAGAAUAUGUUUAGAAGAACAGCAGCGAGCCUUGCUUACUGUAGUGUUCCUCAGGUAAUCAGCUAAGUUUCCUCGCCUCAGAGCUGAAUGAAGAAUGGGAUUUCAGUUGACACUGAACCCGAGGAACAAUACUCAGAACCUAGAAAAAGCAGUUUCUUUUGCAAUUGAGAGGGAGCUAGAGGUGAGUGUCGGCUAUCGGUAUUCUUCUAAGUUCUACGAUCUGCGAGUCGGCCCCGGUCCUGCCUUCUUGACUCUCUUGGCCAGAUUCAUUAUCGCUGACGCUGAGCCCGGCACCUGCAAUACACGAGGGAGGUUGUCUCCAACCAUGGAAACAUUGUAGGAAGGAAACAAAGGACCAUUGCUUCGAAGAUUUCAUUACCCUCAAAUGAAGGCUUGGGACUCUUCUCCAAGCAAGAACCAAGUCGACGACAGUGUGUUCCAUCUUUAUGGUGAAGGCAAGCUGCUCAUUUUUUAAUAGGUAGCAUUGGAGGUCACUUCAAACAGAAGUGCAAUUGGCCAAAUCCAGACUUCUGGAAUGGUCCCCUCCAAGACCAUCCUCUGACUGUAGCCCUCGGCGUUUCCCUGGAUCGUAAGUAGCUGGGAGGUGGGUAUGAUGCCACUGGGGCCUUGUCCUACGUCUGGCUCCACAGCUCCACAGGCUCCCAGUGUGCUCAGGCCUCACCACUCCUAUCCCAGUUACUGCUGCCGGAACAGGAAGUCAGAGGGCCAAGGAGGAGAAUCCCCCUGAGGUAGUGAGCCCAUUGUUGGGAAGGGAUUGUCUCUAUUUGUUGCCAAAUUGUACUUUCCAAGCACUUACUACAGUGCUCU